UGUUGAUCAACCCAUUGAUCCAAAUGAACCCACCUACUGUGUGUGCCAUCAGGUAUCCUUUGGAGAUAUGAUUGCCUGCGACAAUGAAAAUUGCCAAGGCGGUGAAUGGUUUCACUAUACAUGUGUUGGACUCACACCAGAGACAAGAUUCAAAGGGAAGUGGUACUGUCCAACAUGCAGACAAUUACCUCAUUGAUUACAAGUAUGCCCGCCUUUUAUUUGUGAUGUGACUCCUCCCCCAUCAAUUUUUGAAGGGUAUCUUUCGUAUGUUAUGUCUGUUUCGAUAAAGAAUUGUAUGUACCUAGUCAGUUAAUGGUGAAAAAGGGUAGUCGGAGAAAUGUGUUGUCUGUUUGCACCAAAAAUGUAUUCUCAUAAUCCCCG
rnacentral:misc_RNA from 1 species